rnacentral:rRNA from 1 species
AUUGAACGCUGGCGGAAUGCUUUACACAUGCAAGUCGAACGGUAGAGGGGGCAACCCCUCGAGAGUGGCGAACGGGUGAGUAAUAUAUCGGAACGUGCCCAGUCGUGGGGGAUAACGUAGCGAAAGUUACGCUAAUACCGCAUACGAUCUAAGGAUGAAAGCGGGGGAUCGCAAGACCUCGCGCGAUUGGAGCGGCCGAUAGCAGAUUAGGGAGUUGGUGGGGUAAAGGCUCACCAAGCCAACGAUCUGUAGCUGGUCUGAGAGGACGACCAGCCAGACUGGAACUGAGACCCGGUCCAGCGUCCUACGGGAGGCAGCAGUGGGGAAUUUUGGACAGUGGACGCAAGUCGGAUCCAGCCAUUCCGCGUGCAGGAUGAGGGCUCUCGGGUUGUAAACUGCUUUUGUACGGAACGAAAAGGUCUCUCUUAAUACGGGGGGCUCAUGACGGUACCGUAAGAAUAAGCACCGGCUAACUACGUGCCAGCCGCCGCCGUAA